rnacentral:rRNA from 1 species
AGGGAAUCUUCCACAAUGGACGAAGUCUGAUGGAGCAACGCCGCGUGAGUGAUGAAGGGUUUCGGCUCGUAAAACUCUGUUGUUGGAGAAGAACGGGUGUCAGAGUAACUGUUGACAUCGUGACGGUAUCCAACCAGAAAGCCACGGCUAACUACGUGCCAGCAGCCGCGGUAAUACGUAGGUGGCAAGCGUUGUCCGGAUUUAUUGGGCGUAAAGCGAGCGCAGGCGGUUUUUUAGGUCUGAUGUGAAAGCCUUCGGCUUAACCGGAGAAGUGCAUCGGAAACCGGGAGACUUGAGUGCAGAAGAGGACAGUGGAACUCCAUGUGUAGCGGUGAAAUGCGUAGAUAUAUGGAAGAACACCAGUGGCGAAGGCGGCUGUCUGGUCUGCAACUGACGCUGAGGCUCGAAAGCAUGGGUAGCGAACAGGAUUAGAUACCCUGGUAGUCCAUGCCGU